rnacentral:rRNA from 1 species
UGUCUCCUACGGGACGCAGCAGUGGGGAAUAUUGCACAAUGGGGGAAACCCUGAUGCAGCAACGCCGCGUGAGUGAAGAAGUAUUUCGGCAUGUAAAGCUCUCUCAGCAGGGAAGAAGAAAGACGGUACCUGACUAAGAAGCCCCGGCUAACUACGUGCCAGCAGCCGCGGUAAUACGUAGGGGGCAAGCGUUAUCCGGAAUUACUGGGUGUAAAGGGAGCGUAGGCGGCAAGGCAAGUCUGAUGUGAAAACCCAGGGCCCAACCCUGGGACUGCAUUGGAAACUGUAUUGCUUGAGUACCGGAG